rnacentral:lncRNA from 1 species
UCUUGAUUGAUUUUCUUUAAAAGAAACCAAAUAAAAUAUUUGAAAUCCAACGGCACAAUAAGUUUAACCACAUUAAUAAUAGAUAAUAAAAUUUUCAUGAGUAACAUCAAUAACAUAUGGUUUCAAUUUCUCCAAAUAAUGACGUAACUCGGAAUCCUUUCCAAGUUGUGACAUCUUCUUUCAUAAACUAAAAGGAAUCAAACUGUUUGACAUACCUGAAAUCGAAUUUAUAAAAUAAGUAUCAUCUUGUGGUAAACUCCUUUGUCAUUCCAUCAUUUUGCUGUUUAUGAUUGAAAGUAAAUAACAAGGAGUUCUCCAAGCUAAGGCAUUGAGAAACUAACCGAUAACUGAACUAGUCGCAAGUUUGCUAACAAACCCACAGUCAAAGAACUCAAAGUAAAUCGUCAUGGAUCUACUAGCUUUCUCUAAAUAAAGAAUUCAUCAAUAUUAUUUAAGCCUUUAAAAAUGGUAAUUGCAAGUUUUAAUAACGUAAAGAUAAGCAAUUUCACUAUAUAUAUAUAUAUAUAUAGGUUUACUCCAACAAAUUAAAAUAAAAUAAUGGAGUGCUAAUGUAAUAAUUUUAGGAGACAAAAAUACUCCUAACAUGAGACUACUCUCUUGUUCACCAAUUAAAAGAAAUUUUGACAACACACAAGUCACUAAUUCUAUUAUAGUGAAUCAAGUAUUCAAAUCACUAUCAAUAUACUUACAAAAUUAUAAAUUUUCUUAGUUCAAUCACUAUCCGUUUAAGAUGCUUAUUUGUAAAUGAAUUAAAGUUCUUUGUAACUCAAUGCACGCAUUAAAGCUCAUAUGCACAAAAUGUACACUUUGUGAGUCCAAGUAAUAGACUACCCAAUGUACAUCUUACCUUUACAUGCUUUGAAGAAAAGAAGAUGGAUCAAAAAAUUGACAUGUCACUGGAUUGAAUUAUAGCUGAACUAGUUUGUACAUCAGGUGUAAGAGUAUCAACUAAAAUAUUGCAAUCGGUAUUCUCCAUAAGAAUAGAGUGUGAAAUAUCCUUAAGAUUAUUGGAAAAAAUUAGAUGAUUAUGAAGAAAAAAAGAAUUAGCUUGAGGCGCAUCAAGGACACUGUCCUUAAGGAUAUGUUACUCACACCGUGAUAUAUAAAAAUUAGGCAUAUCCCCCAGUAUUCAAUAAGACCUUCUAAUAUAAAUUAGAAGCAGAAACAACAAAGUUAACAAAGAUAACCCAACACAAUAGUAGAAAAGUUUUUACUUUGGUUUUUCCUUUUUUUUCUUCCCACUUCAAAUGGACACAAGGAAGUACAUAUUUUCAGUCCAAAAAAGGGACAUCAGACUGUUUCCAUAUUAAAGUUCUAAGACGUUAGAAAGUUAAACGCCAUUUAAGGCUUUGAAAGAAAAUGUUUGGCCAUUAAGGCUCUUCAAGAAUAAUUUUAAUUUUCAAUUAGAAAUAUAUUUAAGAUAAUUACUAUAAUAAUUACUCAUUAAUAUAAUUGUAACAAAUUGAAUCUAGAUAUAGUUUUGGAAUAUAUUUUUUUUGAAAAAUCAAAAGUAUUUUUCCAUCAUUCCACUGAAUAAAAUCCUCAUACGAAACACAUGACCUCAACUUUUCACAUAGGAGAUAACCCACUGGCCAGACUCAAAUCAACACCAUCUCAUGACCCCACAAUGGUCACGAUAAUUAGGCAACUGAUUAAUAAAGGAGUUUUUCCAAUUAAAAGACAAUCGGAACGGGAUUUGAUUUAUUAAUUAUUCAGAGUCGCCAAUUGAGAAAUAAAUGGUGUCCCAAGUCGCCAGUUUUAAUCCCGAACCGAGCAAAAAUAUGACUAUGUAUUACAGUCUGCGAACCAGAAAUUCGGAUAAGGAAUUCUGUUAACCCGAGAGAAGGUGUUAGACAUUUUCGGUUGCGUGGUUCUAGCAUGGUCGCUUAACUGUUGUAUUUGAUUUUAUCUGAUUUUAAAAUAUGCUAGCUUUUGUGCCUUUUAUUUGUAAACUACUUUUAUUAUUAUUUUAAAAAAAUUGUAACGUCGUGAAAAUGCAUUACGAACCACGUCGCAAUCAAUGCACCAAUGGUUGUCAACACAUUUUGACUCCGUUGAAAUUUAAAUUUGGGUCGCAUCAAUGCGCACCCGAGUUUAGGAAUGUAAUUUUAUUAAAGUCAUACUUAGAGAGUCUAACGUAUUAUUAUUUGGGAAAGGCCGUGAAAUUCGCUAAACAACCCUCCCGAUUCUAAAAAUUUAGUUAAGCAUUUGAAUGAGGGUCCCGCAAUUUGUAUAUUUCAUUCGGCGAGGCUCGUCUCAAUAUUUUUAUUUAAUAGUCCAACCUAAAGAACCUACGAUUUUCUAAUUAUUACUGUCUCGAAAAAUAAAGAAAGGUUCCCAAUUGAUUUGUUAUAAAUCUCAGGCCUCGAGUUUAAGCCCGAGUUCAAACAACAAAAAAAUUUUCAGUCUUGGGCCCAAAGAGCCCAAACCACAUUAUGUGUGCGUACCAGCCUAAACUUUCAGUAACCACAAAUAUUGGGCCUGCGGACAGCCCAAAUCUGACAAAGAGGAACAAGCUAAUCGAAUUCCGGGAGUUGGCCUCCCAACGAUUUGUUCAAACACCCAUUUGCAUUUCAUCCCAUGCUCAUAUAUUUUAUUCCUUUAUAUCUAUUGGUGCAUAUCACUAAUAUUGAAGAUAAAAAUAGAAACCUGAAAUUGACACCAGUAUUGGUAAAGCAAACCAACUAUUCUCGAACCAAUUCAAGCUAAUAUUAUUAGGUAAAUUGGACUAUUAGAAUUAAUUACGUGAAUUUCAGAACCAUUCAGAACUCGUUUUACAGUUUUUGAGAUUAAGACUAACAUUAAUCAUUAACAAGGAGUAAUGUGUUCAAGCCAGUCCCUAUUUCAUAUCCCUAAGACAGUGCUAAUCAUGAAACCAAUAUACCACAACUAUGUCUGCAACUAACAACCACAAACUAACAGCCCUGAGCAGUCCAAUUUAAGUACAAACAACUAAAUGCUAAAUUAUGAUCCAAUCACAAUAAAGCUAAGCAACUACAAACCGUAAAGUGAUGAAUUCACUAAAGCCAAAUUCUAAAAACUAAAUGCGUAAAAAUGAACUAAACACAAUAGAAGAAUCAGCAAGCAUUAGAAGGCAAUGACGUUUUCCAUUUCUUCAGGGAGAUUACAUAAACUCGAGUGCUUACCUGGAUUAUCUAAUGGUUGACUAUAGUUAACUUACCUGCUUUAACAAUCCAAAUAACAACAAGGUGAUCAACUAUUGGUGAAUUAAAACACAUAUUAACAAAUAUCUAAAAGCAAAUUAAUCCUAGUCAAAGUAGGACUUAAACAGAUGUCUAAAACAGAGUUGAACUAAACUUAGAACAAUCUCACCACCAAAUCCAUCAUCGAAAAAAAUCAAAAUCAAAACCAAACAGAAACAUAUAUGAACAACCAAAGCUAACUCGAUUAUCAGACUAGACUAACUCAACGGCUAUAAAAUUCCAAAACAAAACAGGGCACAUGCAAUAUCGAUUCACAAAAUACCUACUGAGAAGACGACUGAACACAGAAAAUAAAGAUGAAGCAAAUAAUAACAAAAGAAAAGGAUAAAAGAAAAAAUAAAGAGAAAAUAAUAGGAAAAUACCUAAUUCGAAUCCAUUAUUGUCCAAAAUCUUUAUAAGCUGGUUCAAUUUGAUUUUUGAAAUACUAGGACCCCAUUUACUGACUCCAAAUUCGAGCAAUUGGAAGUGUAUUUGAAGGGAAAUAACCAGAGAUUUGGUAUGAGGAGGUUAAGGAGGUACUAUGGUGUGAAUUUGAACCGGUUUGGGCUGUGUCGCCACCGUAGACGACGAAGAUGGCGACCAUUCUUUCAAUUAUUCAACGCCCUCCAGUGGGAUUCAAGAGAUGAUAAUGGUGGAUUCGUGACGGGGACGAGGAGGCGGUCUAGGGGUGUAAUUUUGGGAGCCAACAGAGAAAGUGGCAUUUUCUCCAGCGGCGGCGGCGGUGGAUGUCAGGUGGGAACAAUGGGGUGAAUACGAGGAAGAAGGUAUGUCUUUUAGGUUUUUCAGACAAUUAUAUCUAAUGCCUAAUCUCGAAUGGCGACCGUUGGAUUAAAAGAU